rnacentral:rRNA from 1 species
AUACGUAGGGGGCGAGCGUUGUCCGGAAUGAUUGGGCGUAAAGCGCGCGUAGGCGGCGCGGUAAGUCUGGAGUGAAAGUCCUGCUCUCAAGGUGGGAAUUGCUUUGGAUACUGCCGCGCUUGAGUGCAGGAGAGGGGAUGGGAAUUCCCGGUGUAGCGGUGAAAUGCGUAGAGAUCGGGAGGAACACCAGUGGCGAAGGCGGGUAACUGGACUGCAACUGACGCUGAGGCGCGAAAGUGUGGGGAGCAAACAGGAUUAGAUACCCUGGUAGUCCACACUGUAAACGAUGAAUGCUAGGUGUAAGAGGUAUCGACCCCUUUUGUGCCGGAGUCAACACAAUAAGCAUUCCGCCUGGGGAGUACGGCCGCAAGGUUGAAACUCAAAUGAAUUGGCGGGG